rnacentral:rRNA from 1 species
UGGGGAAUAUUGCACAAUGGGCGCAAGCCUGAUGCAGCCAUGCCGCGUGUAUGAAGAAGGCCUUCGGGUUGUAAAGUACUUUCAGCGAGGAGGAAGGCGUUGUGGUUAAUAACCGCAACGAUUGACGUUACUCGCAGAAGAAGCACCGGCUAACUCCGUGCCAGCAGCCGCGGUAAUACGGAGGGUGCAAGCGUUAAUCGGAAUUACUUGGCGUAAAGCGCACGCAGGCGGUCUGUCAAGUCGGAUGUGAAAUCCCCGGGCUCAACCUGGGAACUGCAUCCGAAACUGGCAGGCUAGAGUCUUGUAGAGGGGGGUAGAAUUCCAGGUGUAGCGGUGAAAUGCGUAGAGAUCUGGAGGAAUACCGGUGGCGAAGGCGGCCCCCUGGACAAAGACUGACGCUCAGGUGCGAAAGCGUGGGGAGCAAACA